GGAAAUAGCAAUAAAGAGGCUUUCAAGAGCUUCUAGUCAAGGGUAUGAGGAAUUUAUAAAUGAAGUGAUGGUGAUUUCCAAACUACAACAUAGAAAUCUUGUACAGCUUCUCGGUUGUUGCAUCGAAGAAGAAGAGAAGAUGCUAAUAUACGAGUACAUGCCCAACCUAAGUUUGGAUGCAUUCAUCUUUGGUUAGAUAUGUUUGCUCUAAAUUUUAAGAUUUCUCUAUUCAUUUUAGUUUAAUUAAUUUGCUUUAGAAUAAAU
rnacentral:misc_RNA from 1 species